UAAUCCUUGCUACAGACACAUGGAUGUGCUA
rnacentral:piRNA from 1 species